GAUGAACGCUGGCGGCGUGCCUAAUACAUGCAAGUCGAGCGAACAGACCAGGAGCUUGCUCCUCUGACGUUAUCGGCGGACGGGUGAGUAACACGUGGUUAACCUACCUAUAAGACUGGGAUAACUUCGGGAAACCGUGUCUACUACCGGAUAAUAUAUUGAACCUCAUUGUUCAAUAGUUAGAUACGGUUUUUCUGUCACUUAUAGAUGAAUCAGCGUCGAAUUAGCUAGUUGGUAAGGUAAAGGCUUACCAAGGCGAGGAUGCGUAACCGCCCUGAGCGGGUGGAUCGCCACACGGUAUCUGAGGCACGGCCCCCACUCCUACGGUGGGACGCAGUCGGGAAUCCUCCGCGAGGGGGGAGUGGCUAACGGUGCAACACCGCGGGAGUCAUGAAGCACCAAGGACCGGAGAGCGAUGAUAGUCGUAGAGAUGAAAUGUUCAUGUACCCAGGAUGAUCUUGACAGUACCGAAUCAAAAAGCCACGGCUAACUCCGUG
rnacentral:rRNA from 1 species